rnacentral:rRNA from 1 species
CGGCGGACGGGUGAGUAACGCGUGGGUAACCUGCCUCAUACAGGGGGAUAACAGUUGGAAACGGCUGCUAAUACCGCAUAAGCGCACAGUACCGCAUGGUACGGUGUGAAAAACUCCGGUGGUAUGAGAUGGACCCGCGUCUGAUUAGGUAGUUGGUGAGGUAACGGCCCACUAAGGCGACGAUCGGUAGCCGGACUGAGAGGUUGAACGGCCACAUUGGGACUGAGACACGGCCCAG